AGAAGCCAGCACUGAGCAGGCUCCUGGAAGAGGCUUGUGGAGAAAGGGGCCUGUGUUGGAGCAGAUCUGCUGGCAGGACUUGUGGCCACUUGAGGAACUUAGGCUGCCUUAGUCACUGGUUCAAGUAAAUGAACAAGAUACUAGGAGGUAAGGUUUCAGGAGUGCUGUCUGCUGAGGUGCUCCAUGACCACUAGAGUGGCCAUAAAUGGAAUCCAACAGCAGGAUGUGGGACAACCCAAAGAUGUCAUCAGGACAUGCAGUCAGUCUUGUUCAUUCUGCCAUGUUAGAGUACUUUGGGGAAGGAAAGAAACCUCAAGAUUCCUAUUUAUAUUUUCAGGACCCAAUAUAUGUUGAACAGAUUUUUGACUUUUCCAAGGAGCUUCAGCUGAAAAUUAAAGUCAAGUUCUCAGUUAGUGUAGAAGUAGUAAUGCUGCAGUUUGUGUCUCUGAUGAUCUUUUAGGUAACCACUGAAGGAAUGAGUUCAACUAAAUGUAACUUCAUAUACACAAAACCAGCUCAGCCACUUUUCAGACAGAAAUGGCUCAGCAGUACAUCAGGGUUCUGCUAUCCAGAACAGACUAAUUUUAUAAAGGUUGUCAUUAAAAUUGUACAAGUACUAUUGUUUUAAUCUGUGAUUCACUUAAGUGAUAAGUAGUCUGAUUCAUCUGUUCAUGUCAAUAGAGAAAAUUUGCAAUGACUUCAAAAAAAUUUGGAAUAAGCACCAACUCAAGCAAGCCAGAGGCUGACUUUCAGAUCUUGGCUGUGUACUUUUAAAACAAAGUAACUUUACUCUAGUUUUCAUCUGCAACUGAGUAAGGUUGGCAAAACAUGGAAGUGUUUAAAUUUUAUUGAACCUGUGGACAUUCAUAUCUCUGUAUAUGACCCUUUCAUGUUUCCUUCAAAUUGAAUUACUCUGAAAUUUUCCAAGGUGUCUUAGUGAGCUAAGUAAGAACAGACCUUAAAAACUCUUUCUUCCCUCCAUCCCAGCUCUACCUUCUCCCUGCCAGCAGUGCAGGCAGAAGGCAAUGGGGGUUAUGGUUGGUUCAUCACACAUUGUUUCUGCUGCUGCUCUGGGAAGAGAGUCUUUCCUCUGCUUCAGCAGGGUUCCCUCCCAUGAGAACAGCUCUCAGUGAACUUCUCCAGCCUGAAUCCAUCUCAGAGACAGCAGUUCUCCAUAAACAGCUACAAUCUGGGUCACUUUCGGGGUGCAGUCCUUCAGGAGCAGCCCGAUCCAGUGUGGGUGCCCCAUGGGGUCACACGUCCUACAGAAAGCCUGGUGGAUUUCUGUUUAGCUGGGGGUUAGUGUAAGGCAAGGCUGUGCUUCAACCACCAGACACCUUCUCUGAACUGGCUUCAAGUGAAACUUGAUGUAAUCGUUCUCUCUGAAAAUAUUGCUCUGUGUAGGGAAACCACACUUGGACAAGGAACACGAAGCAUUACAAAGAUUGCCCUAAAAUUAAAGGUUUGUUUUGAA